UAUAAAGUUCGCCGAAUGGCAUUUGUCGCA
rnacentral:piRNA from 1 species